rnacentral:rRNA from 1 species
GUAAUAGUCCUGUAAGUGAAACGAGAAGACCACGAGUUAUGAUCCAGAGUACCACGAGACACGUGAAACCUUGUGGGAAGCAGGGAGGACCACCUCCCAAGGCUAAAUACUACCUGAUGACCGAUAGUGAAGCAGUACCGUGAGGGAAAGGUGAAAAGAACCCCGGGAGGGGAGUGAAAUAGAACCUGAAACCGUGUGCCUACAACCGCUCAGAGCCCCUUAUGAGGGUGAUGAGGUGCUUUUUGUAGAACGAGCCAACGAGUUACGGUAUGUAGCAAGGUUAAGUACUUAAGGUACGGAGCCGAAGGGAAACCGAGUCUGAAUAGGGCGACUAGUUGCAUGCCGUAGACCCGAAACCGGGUGACCUAUCCAUGGCCAGGUUGAAGCGAGGGUAAAACCUCGUGGAGGACCGAACCACGUUGCUGUUGAAAAAGCAUGGGAUGAGCUGUGGAUAGCGGAGAAAUUCCAAUCGAACCCGGAGAUAGCUGGUUCUCUCCGAAAUAGCUUUAGGGCUAGCGUCGAGUAUGAGUAGUGGAGGUAGAGCACUGAAUGGGCUAGGGGGCAUAGCGCUUACCGAACCUUAUCAAACUCCGAAUGCCACAUACUUUGAGCUCGGCAGUCAGACUACGAAUGAUAAGAUCCGUGGUCAAAAGGGAAACAGCCCAGAUCGUCAGCUAAGGUCCCAAAGUGUAAGUUAAGUGGGAAAGGAUGUGAGAUUUCUAAGACAACUAGGAUGUUGGCUUAGAAGCAGCCAUUCAUUAAAAGAGUGCGUAAUAGCUCACUAGUCGAGAGAUCUUGCGCCGAAAAUGUAACGGGGCUAAACUUACCACC